GUGCUCUCUUUGGCAGCACAUAUACUAAAAUUGGUACAAUACAGAGAAGACUAGCAUGACCCCUGUGCAAAGAUAACAUGUAAACCGUGAAGUGUUCCAUAGUUUA
ensembl:snRNA U6 U6 spliceosomal RNA